AUCCCCUAAAAAUAGUCAGCUUGUCCUUUGGAACUUUGAAGCCAAGCACUGACUUGUCCUCUUUAGCUACAAUCUUAGAUGGUAUCUUAUUCAAAUAUAAGUCUGUUUUGUCUACAUUGAAAAUCAGUUGGAAAGUGUAGCCACCUUCAUCAUUUAUCUUAGCUCUAGAUACCUUACUACAGCUUUUCCAUCAGCACUUGCUACUUCACCUUACACUUUUGUAUUACAGAAAAAGCUUCUUUCCUUCAACCAAAUGAACCAACCUCUGUUAGCUUCAAACUUUUCUGCUGCAGCUUCCUCACUUCUCUCAGCCUUCAUAGAACUGAAGAACUAGAGACUUGCUAUGGAUAAGGCUUUGGCUUAUGGGGAUAUUGUGGUUGAUCUGUUCUAUCCAGAUGACUGAAACUUUCUCCAUAGCAGCAGUGAGGCCAUUUUGCUUUCUUCUCAUUUGCGUGUUCACUGAAGUAACAUUUUUAAUUUUCUUCAAGAACUUUUUUUUUAACUUUCACAACUUGUCUAUUAGGCCUCUCUUUCAGCUUACCUCAGCUUUCCACAUGCCCUCUUCAGUAAGCUUUAUCAUUUCCAGCUUUUGAUUUAAAGUGAGAGAUGUGUGACUCUUCAUUUCACUUGAACACUUAAAGGCCAUUGAAGGGUUAUUAUUGGACUAAUUUCAAUAUUGUUUUGUCUCAGGGAAUAGAAAGACAUGUGGAGAGGGAGAGAAAUGCAGUAACAGCUGGUCUGUGGA
rnacentral:lncRNA from 10 species